rnacentral:lncRNA from 1 species
CUAACAAGUAAAGUUCUGAGGAACAUAGUGGCUGGUGCCGGGACAUAAUUCUGAAAUUGACAGACUGCGUUACUUAAGAGGCAUAUCAAAUAAUUGUUUGUGAUGUAACAUAAAGCUUAAAUUUCGAAAAUGGAAAAAAAGGGUGAAUUUUUCAUCACCAAAAUGAGUAAUGUCAAGAAGGGUGGAAUGGAUCAAAAUUCUCCAUCAGAGUACAAGGCUCUAGUGAGUCUGUUACCAAAAUCUCAGUCUUGUCCCCAAGGCCAAUCCAAUAAUGAGGACACAGUUUUGAGAAAAAGGAAAACAAAGUUUUAUUUCUUUGUUAGCAGAGGAGAAACAUGGGGAUUCCUGUCCCAGGGGCUGUGAUCCUGCCCAUCAGGGGAACAGGAGGGUUUUAAGGAGGUGAUUUGAAGGCUAUAUCCCACAUGGUGUCUAUCUGAGUUGUAAUUUGAUUGUUAGUUUGGGAGAUAGUCAUUUCUUAGAUCUUUUGGUACCACCCAAAUCUGAAUUACUUUGUUUCUAUGGUGGUGUGUGCUCAAGGACAGUUAACUUCACGUAGGAUGGGGAAGAAAGGAAACCAUGUUUGUCCAAGAUUAGGGAGGAGGAGGGAGAGAGGAAGAGAAAGAAACAUGUCCAUUUUAAAAAUGGACAGUGGCAGAGCAACAAGGGCUAUAUCCAAAGCAUAAAGUGGACCACUAUUACAAGUGCAGUAAUCUAUACUGGAAAGAGGCCCCAGGUUUAGGAUUUCAAACCAGUUCUAUAUGAAGUAAUUUGUAAAAAAGUUUUUGUCACUAAACACUAAUUAGGACGGCUGGACAAUCUAUGUGCUAUUAGAAUACGGUCCCAUAUUCUUGAGGAAUCAAGAGUUCACUGGACAGAAUUAUUUGGAUCCCUAUCAGACAAAAAUGCACGAGUUAACCUGUAACUUCAAUAAGUCUGGGAUCUAAUUCAGAUUCUUAACAGGUGACAUUUGUUUAGAGACUUGAAUGACAUCAGGAGUGAAUAAGUGAAGAGAUGAAUCCUAGGAAGAGGAAGCAUUUUUUCUCUCUCCCACUCAAUCAUCAGUGAAGUAACAUGUUCUCAUUAAUAUCUGGGGGAUCAAGUGUAUCCUGGGUAAAUGAAGAAGUACAGACUCCCGACUACCAGCAGAGAAAAGAAGAUAGAGGCUACCCAGGAGCUCUGCCACAUAUGGAUUGAUAAUGCCACAGGCUGAGGGGUAAGGGUAGGGGGAGCCAGGUGGGGAGUGAAAAACCAGCCUCUACCUCAGAGCAAAGCCUGUCCAAGGAAGAUGGCGUGACUCUUGUCCUUGGAAAGACCCACGGAGCACUCCUAGGCACAUACCCACCCUGCUGAGUUGUUAAAUAAUAGGAGAGAUCUGCGGAGCCAGGUGUCCCUGACUCAGUCAGGCUAGGUGAGGUGCCACAGUCUGGCUGGGCACAAAUUACCAAGCCGCCACAAAGCACUUGUAUGUUCAAACAGGAAACUUUAUUGCCUGAACUCCAACAGCACUCCACACACACUCCCCGGGAACUCUCCCGAAUGCCACCCACGCGGCCCUUUUCCGGCACACCACACCAACCGGAACUCCCUCCACCGGAACUUCACCAACCAAUGCGAACUCCCCAGGAAAUCUCUCGAGAACUCCAAAGUAGCGGGCGCCCGAGGCAGACAGCAGGGGUCUAUAUACAAUUGAAUCAAUCCAGCAUCAUCUGAAUGGCUCGCCUCUCAACCAUUACUUCUGGAAAAAUGCCAGGGGCCAUUCUGACUCGGCUGUGGCCCUCAACAUCUCCCCCCUACUGUUUAAUUAAACAACAAGCAAUGUGGCUUAGGGACCGCG